CCUACGGGUGGCAGCAGUGAGGAAUAUUGGUCAAUGGGCGGAAGCCUGAACCAGCCAAGCAGCGUGCGGGAUGAAGGCCCUACGAGUCGUAAACCGCUUUUGCACGAGGGUAAAACUGUCCACGUGUGUACGUCUGCAGGUACCGUACGAAUAAGGGCCGGCUAAUUCCGUGCCAGCAGCCGCGGUAAUACGGAGGACCCGAGCGUUAUCCGGAUUCAUUGGGUUUAAAGGGAGCGUAGGCGGGCGUUCAAGUCAGCGGUAAAAUCGCGGGGCUUAACCGCGGCCCGCCGUUGAAACUGGACACCUUGAGUUUACAAGAGGCAGGCGGAAUUCAUGGUGUAGCGGUGAAAUGCAUAGAGAUCA
rnacentral:rRNA from 1 species